rnacentral:rRNA from 1 species
UACGGAGGGUGCAAGCGUUAUCCGGAAUCACUGGGUUUAAAGGGUGCGUAGGUGGCCCGAUUAGUCAGAGGUGAAAGCCCACAGCUUAACUGUGGAAUUGCCUUUGAUACUGUCGGGCUUGAAUUAGGACGAGGUCAGCGGAAUGUGACAUGUAGCGGUGAAAUGCAUAGAUAUGUCAUAGAACACCAAUUGCGAAGGCAGCUGACUAGACCUUGAUUGACACUGAGGCACGAAAGCGUGGGGAGCGAACAGG